rnacentral:rRNA from 1 species
GAAUAUUGCGCAAUGGGGGCAACCCUGACGCAGCAACGCCGCGUGCGGGACGAAGGCACUCGUGUCGUAAACCGCUUUCAGCAGGGAAGACAUCGACGGUACCUGCAGAAGAAGCCCCGGCUCACUACGUGCCAGCAGCCGCGGUAACACGUAGGGGGCGAGCGUUAUCCGGAUUCAUUGGGCGUAAAGCGCGCGCAGGCGGCCGCCUAAGCGGGACCUCUAAUCCUGGGGCUCAACCUCAGGCCGGGUCCCGAACUGGGCGGCUCGCGUCAGGUAGGGGGAGGCGGAAUUCCCGGUGUAGCGGUGGAAUGCGCAGAUAUCGGGAAGAACACCGACGGCGAAGGCAGCCUCCUGGGCCUCGACGGACGCUGAGGCGCGAAAGCCGGGGGAGCGAAC